GAGAACCUGCUUGCUCUCUUUGUCUUUCCACAAUGAGAAGAUGGCCAUCUAUAAUCCAGAAAGAGGACCUUCACCAGAACUUGACCAUUCUGGACCCCUGAUCUUAGACUUCCCAGCCUCCAGAACUGGCUUUAGCUGAGGAGGGAGGCAAGUUGUCUACGAGAAAUUAACGUGUCCAGGUCUGCACCACAUGUGGAUAUGGGUCUUGAACUAACACCAUCUCUAUGGCACAGGAAUAUGAAGUCAAACAUUCGCAUAAAAAAUUGAUGAAACUCCUUGGACCCCUGGCAGAAGGAGACAUUAGACUUCAAGCAAAUACAGUCAAGAAAUGCAUUGGUUUGCUCCAGAAAGGCGGAAUGACUCAAAGAUGUCUGGUCUUCCAGGUUACAGAUGAGUAGCUGAUUCUGGAGCCUAGGUUCUUGCUUCCUGGUCUGGCGAUGAGUCCUCCAUAGUCUGGUGAGUGUAGUGGCCAACUCUAAAGCCCAGGCUGUUGCUUCCCGGUCUGGCAAUGAAUCCUCAGUAGUCUGGAGGACAUCAUGGUGUAGCUGCAAAUUCCAGUUGAUCCCAACUAUCUGGUUAAAAAUGAGCUUCUGCUUGCUGCUUUCUAAAGAAGAAUGGCUUAGAAUGGAUGCGUUUCUGUGCUUUGGAGAAGCUUGUUACUGA
rnacentral:lncRNA from 13 species